ensembl:snoRNA snoRNA:Psi28S-3308 snoRNA:Psi28S-3308
GUCGCACAAAUCCCUAUUGAGGCAACAGACGGCUAGUUGACCCCAGUAAGACCUUUGAACGCGUCUAAGUGCGAGAGAAACCGAAAGACUUGACGUCGCAUUUGCCAUAAACCAACUCAACGGAGUGGCGAAUUGAAACUUCGAGUUACAAAG